rnacentral:rRNA from 1 species
AUUGAACGCUGGCGGCAGGCCUAACACAUGCAAGUCGAACGAGUGGCGGACGGGUGAGUAAUGUCUUGGAAACUGCCUGAUGGAGGGGGAUAACUACUGGAAACGGUAGCUAAUACCGCAUACCAUCUGAUGAUCCCAGAUGUGAUUAGCUAGUAGGUAGGGUAAAGGCUCACCUAGGCGACGCUCCCUAGCUGGUCUGAGAGGAUGACCAGCCACACUGGAACUGAGACACGGGCCAGACUCCGACGUGAGGCAGCAGUGGGGAAUAUUGCACAAUGGGCGCAAGCCUGAUGCAGCCAUGCCGCGUGUAUGAAGAAGGCCUUCGGGUUGUAAAGUACUUUCAGCGGGGAGGCGUUACCCGCAGAAGAAGCACCGGCUAACUCCGUGCCAGCAGCCGCGGUAAUUC